rnacentral:rRNA from 1 species
CCUACGGGGGGCAGCAGUGAGGAAUAUUGGUCAAUGGGCGGAAGCCUGAACCAGCCAAGUAGCGUGCAGGAUGACGGCCCUACGGGUUGUAAACUGCUUUUAUACGGGAAUAACGCGCCUUACGUGUAGGGCUUUGCAUGUACCGUAUGAAUAAGGACCGGCUAAUUCCGUGCCAGCAGCCGCGGUAAUACGGAAGGUCCGGGCGUUAUCCGGAUUUAUUGGGUUUAAAGGGAGCGUAGGCCGCAUGUCAAGCGUGCUGUGAAAUGUCCGGGCUCAACCCGGGCCUUGCAGCGCGAACUGGCGUG